UCUAUAUGUGUACACACAUUGCCUGAAUUCUUAUUUUAGGCAAAUAUUGCAACUCAGGGCUAGUCACCCAGUGAGACUUUGAGAGCCAGAAGUCACUUUGUCCCAGUCCUGCAA